GACGAACGCUGGCGGCGUGCUUAACACAUGCAAGUCGAACGAAGAGCGACGGAUGCUGGCGUCUAUCAAUCUUAGGGGCGGACGGGUGAGUAACGCGUAACCAACCUGCCCUUUAGAGGGGGACAACAGUAGGAAAGGACUGCUAAUACCACAUACGACCGAACCUCGGCAUCGAGGGUAGAUGAAAGGUGGCCGCUACAUGUAAGCUAUCAUUGAAGGAGGUGGGUGCGGCUGAUGAGCUAGGUGGAGGGGACACGGACCAUCAAGGCGAGGUUCAGUAGCACGUCUGCGAGGAUGGACGGCCACAUUGGGAGGGUGACCCGGCCCAGACUCCUACGGGAGGGAGCCGUGGGGCAUCUUGCGCCAUGGACGAAAGUCUGACCGAGCUACGCCGCGUCAGUGAUGAGCACCUUCGGGUUGUAAAUCUCGGUUAAUCGGGACGAAAGGCCUUCUUGCGAAUAGUGAGAGGGAUUGACGGUACCGGAAUAGAAAGCCACGGCUAACUACGUG
rnacentral:rRNA from 1 species